rnacentral:rRNA from 1 species
GAUGAACGCUGGCGGCGUGCCUAAUACAUGCAAGUCGAGCGAACAGACGCGGAGCUUGCUCGUUUGACGUUAGCGGCGGACGGGUGAGUAACACGUGGGUAACAUACCUAUACGUCUGGGAUAAUUACGGGAAACCGGAGCAAAUACUGGGUAAUAUUCUGAACCGCAAGGUUCAAUAGUGAAAGAAGGAUCUGCUAUCACUUAUAGAUGGACCUGCGCCGUAUUAGCUAGUUGGUAAGGUAACGGCUUACCAAGGCAACGAUUCGUAGCCGACCUGAGAGGGUGAUCGGCCACCCUGGAACUGCGACACGGUCCAGACUCCUACGGGGGGAAGCAGUAGGGAAUCUUCCGCAAUGGGCGAAAGCCUGACGGAGCAACGCCGCGUGAGUGAUGAAGGUCUUCGGAUCGUAAAACUCUGUUAUUAGGGAAGAACAAACGUGUAAGUAACUGUGCACGUCUUGACGGUACCUAAUCAGAAAGCCCCGGCUAACUACGUG